rnacentral:rRNA from 1 species
AGAGUUUGAUUAUGGCUCAGGAUGAACGCUAGCUACAGGCUUAACACAUGCAAGUCGAGGGGCAGCAGUUGGGGUAGCAAUACCUCAGAUGGCGACCGGCGCACGGGUGAGUAACACGUAUCCAACCUGCCGCUUACUCGGGGAUAGCCUUUCGAAAGAAAGAUUAAUACCCGAUGGUAUAAAGAGUUCGCAUGUUCUCUUUAUUAAAGAAUUUCGGUAAGCGAUGGGGAUGCGUUCCAUUAGAUAGUUGGCGGGGUAACGGCCCACCAAGUCUACGAUGGAUAGGGGUUCUGAGAGGAAGGUCCCCCACAUUGGAACUGAGACACGGUCCAAACUCCUACGGGAGGCAGCAGUGAGGAAUAUUGGUCAAUGGACGAGAGUCUGAACCAGCCAAAAGUAGCGUGAAGGAUGACUGCCCUAUGGGUUGUAAACUUCUUUUAUAAGGGAAUAAAGUGAGGGACGUGUCCCUUUUUGUAUGUACCUUAUGAAUAAGGAUCGGCUAACUCCGUGCCAGCCGCCGC